GUGGGGAAUCUUGCGCAAUGGGCGAAAGCCUGACGCAGCGACGCCGCGUGGAGGAUGAAGGCCUUCGGGUUGUAAACUCCUGUCAGAGGUGAAGAAAGCCCCUUCGGGGGCGUGACGGUAACUUCAGAGGAAGCCCCGGCUAACUACGUGCCAGCAGCCGCGGUAAUACGUAGGGGGCAAACGUUGCUCGGAAUUACUGGGCGUAAAGGGUGCGUAGGUGGCUGAGCAAGUCGUGGAUGAAAUCCCGAGGCUUACCCUCGGAACUGUCUUCGAUACUGCUCAGCUUGAGGAUGGUUGAGGAGAACGGAAUUCCCGGUGGAGCGGUGAAAUGCGUAGAUAUCGGGAGGAACACCAGAGGCGAAGGCGGUUCUCUGGGCCAUUCCUGACACUGAGGCACGAAAGCUAGGGGAGCAAACGGGAUUAGAUACCCCAGUAGUCC
rnacentral:rRNA from 1 species